rnacentral:sRNA from 1 species
AUCCACGCCCUAAAUCGGGAAUAAGUGUGCUGACAAUGUUAUGGGUUUCAUUUUCCUCUUUGAAACGUGGCGGGAAAUGAAUGCUUUACGGAUGGCGCAGUUACAGGCAGCCUUUGAUUAUUGUCACAUGGCUUUUCAAUAAUGGCCCUCCAGAUCACCGAUUCCCUCUGGUAAUCCGAUGAAAAAUGGAUGGAUGAUCAAACUUUGAAGGAACCUCAUACGAUGCGCGGCACAAAAAAAAAAAAAGAAAGAAAGAGACGGGAUGGGAUCGCUUUGACAAAGGACUUGAACUCCGGACUCGGUCCGGACAUAA